rnacentral:miRNA from 14 species
CCGCUUUUUCAGUAGUUUGAAAC